rnacentral:rRNA from 1 species
UUUUUUCUAGUACGAAAGGACCGAAAGAACAUGGCCCAUACUCUAUGCAAGCCAUAAUUACUAACUUAUGACUAAGUCUUAAUAAGUACAUAACCCACCACCCACCUCAAGAAAAGAGC